rnacentral:rRNA from 1 species
CAGUCGCCGCGGGAAUACAGAGGGUGCGAGCGUUAAUCGGAUUUACUGGGCGUAAAGCGUGCGUAGGCGGCUUCUUAAGUCGGAUGUGAAAUCCCUGAGCUUAACUUAGGAAUUGCAUUCGAUACUGGGAAGCUAGAGUAUGGGAGAGGAUGGUAGAAUUCCAGGUGUAGCGGUGAAAUGCGUAGAGAUCUGGAGAAAUACCGAUGGCGAAGGCAGCCAUCUGGCCUAAUACUGACGCUGAGGUACGAAAGCAUGGGGAGCAAACAGGAUUAGAUACCCCUGUAGUCCCUGUCUCUUAUAC